rnacentral:rRNA from 1 species
UACAGAGGUCUCAAGCGUUGUUCGGAUUCAUUGGGCGUAAAGGGCGCGUAGGCGGCGGGGUAAGUCGGGUGUGAAAUCUCAGGGCUCAACCCUGAAACUGCACUCGAUACUGCUCUGCUUGAGGACUGGAGAGGAGACUGGAAUUCACGGUGUAGCAGUGAAAUGCGUAGAUAUCGUGAGGAAGACCAGUGGCGAAGGCAGGUCUCUGGGCCACUACUGACGCUGAGAAGCGAAAGCAUGGGGAGCGAACGGG